CCUACGGGGUGCAGCAGUAGGGAAUCUUCGGCUAUGGACGAAAGUCUGACCGAGCAACGCCGCGUGAGUGAAGAAGGUUUUCGGAUCGUAAAACUCUGUUGGUAGAGAAAAACGUUGGUGGGAGUGGAAAGCUCAUCAAGUGACGGUAACUACCCAGAAAGGGACGGCUAACUACGUGUCAGCAGCCGCGGUAAUACGUAGGUCCCGAGCGUUGUCCGGAUUUAUUGGGCGUAAAGCGAGCGCAGGCGGUUUAUUAAGUCUGGUGUAAAAGGCAGUGGCUCAACCAUUGUAUGCAUUGGAAACUGGUAGACUUGAGUGCAGGAGAGGAGAGUGGAAUUCCAUGUGUAGCGGUGAAAUGCGUAGAUAUAUGGAGGAACACCGGUGGCGAAAGCGGCUCUCUGGCCUGUAACUGACACCGAGGCUCGAAAGCGUGGGGAGCAAACAGGAUUAGAUACCCUUGUAGUC
rnacentral:rRNA from 1 species